GACGGGGGAUGCAAGUGUUAUCCGGAAUAAUUGGGCGUAAAGCGUCUGUAGGUGGUUUACCAAGUCUGUUGUUAAAAAUCAGGGCUUAACCCUGAUCCGGCAACAGAAACUAGUAGGCUGGAGUACGGUAGGGGCAGAGGGAAUUUCCGGUGGAGCGGUGAAAUGCGUAGAGAUCGGAAAAGAACACCAACGGCGAAAGCACUCUGCUGGGCCGACACUGACACUGAGAGACGAAAGCUAGGGGAGCGAAUGGG
rnacentral:rRNA from 1 species